UUAUGCGCCUAGCAACCCUUCUAUGAGUUUUAGUUUUAUCUGUUUUAAUUUCUAUUCUCUGGAAAGAUGAUGUUAGGCUAACUUUGUAGCUUGAGUUGUGGAGAGUGUCUAGGUUUGAUUUGGGCUUUGGGUUAAUGAAAUUUCUGUUGACGUAAUGGCACAACAAAGGCUUGAAUUUAUCAAGGUUUCCUUCGAUCAGUUGCUAUUGUGAUUUUGAUUGGUAAUAUAGUGAAGGCUUUUAAAGAAAUGGUGCAUGUCCGAAUGUAAACUUUUCAUUUUCCAAUAAUCGAUUCCUUGACUGGAUUGAUGAUUGAGAUUUAGCACCUCUUAAAAUUAACUAAAAGUUGGAUAAAAAAGAGGCCCUAUCUGCAGCUCAAGUGUUUGAUAUAUUGUCUUUUGGUGUUAAUUUUUCUGAAAUUUCUAA